rnacentral:lncRNA from 1 species
AGGCAAGGUGCGCGGUGGUAGGCUCGGUCUCCAGCCUCAGCGUCUUCUGUCGGCCCCUUUGCCAUGUGGCGCCGGCGGUGCUGUUCGAAGUCGGCUACAAAACUGGCAUGGUGAGCUCCUCUCCAUCCUCUGCUCCCCGCCUCUGGUUGCUCUGAGCUCGUGCCCAUCGAGCCAAAACUAUGCCAUGCUAGGAUUUGGCCUCUAAUGGUCAAUGUGGAUGGAUGCUAUGGUUCCUGUGAUGUGCUAGGGUUCAUAUGAAUUGCCUCAUAAUUGAGCCAUUGGUCCAUAUGUAUGCGUUUUGCUCUUGUGAGCUAUUUGACAAGAGUUUACUAAGUGUUUGUGUAGUGCAAAUGUGUUCUGCAUACAAGCUUAUCAUCCUUAGUUAGAUAUAGAAUGUACAAACUCUUUUUAUGAUUAUAUGGCUCACAAUCUCAAGCUUGAGGGGUUAGUUGUGGUGCUACAGUUGUUGGAGUAGGUGGGAAGCUGGUGGUGCUGGUGUGGCUGACACCACACAAGUAACUCAACCAAGCUUCUAGUGUGCUGUAUUUACUGAUUAAUGGGGGUUUUUGCAGCAAGGUAGAGUUUCUUUCUUCCCAUAAUGAACAUAUUGAAAGUAGCAAAUAUGCUAUGCAAUUAGGUGGUAGGUGGUGCUCGUUUGAAUCUGAAACAUAGAUACAAUAUAGGUGGUGCUCGAAGCACACAUAUUUUCUAGUUGUUUUAUGGGUAACAACGUUCAGGCACACAUUUCUCCUAAAAUUCCUCACCAUUCUGGCAUUUUAGUUCUCAAUGGCUUUUCCACUUUCAGUGAGUUAUGGAAGGAAUUUGUCUGGUAUGGAUGGUUUGAUCAUUGAGUUAAUGAAAAUGUUUCUGAGACAUAAAUCCCACUCAUUUUAGUACCUAUAUCAAUUUUAACCUUUUUAAAAUAUUUCACAGACCACAUAUUCACUUGUUUGAAAAAUGUAUCUGAAACAUAGAUACAAUAUUGUUGUUGUUUAAAAGGUCUUGUCUUCGGGAUCUUAAAUAUACAAAAAUAUUCAAAAUGGACUUACACUUUAGAAGUGUUGUCUUAUGUAUGUUUGCGCAAUACAAUAUGCUCAUGUGAUCCUUAUGUUGGUGAUCUUUUAGGAAGCACGACAGGUCGCGUAAAGAGGAGGAAAAGAAAGCUGAGUGCUCAACUUGUUUAGAGGACUAGCCUUUCUUCUUCCUUGAAAGAAACGUUGAAAGGUAAGACAUGACAGCGGCAAGCAUAGAUAGGCAUUGGAGAUGUUUUUUUCUUUCUCUAGUCCAUUUACUGAAUGGGGUGGUGCUUUAUUUCUUCCAGAGGAGAAGAUGUGCUGAAACUAGAUGUAAAGAUGCAUGACCCUUUCUUUGAUUUCGUCUACGCGCUUGAUUCUGAAGUAGGAUGAUCAAAUUUAGAUGGUAUUUACUUUUUUUUGUAGGGCAAGUAUAAUGUUUGCCAAGUCAAUCAAUAUAUAUUGACAUGCUCCCUGGGAUGAGAUGGCAAACCAUUUAGAUCAAGCCAUUUUAGUUUGCUGCAUUCAAAUUCCAAACCAAUUAAUGUCCACUUUUAGUUUAAGCCAUGAGAUGAUGGCAAACCAACUCAGUUUGCUGCACUUGGUUGUAGAAAUGUCACUCACUGUUCCAGAUUAUUACUUGAGGUUAUAUAUGCUAUACGUAUAAACUAUGCUAGUGUUUGAUCUGGCCCUUGCGAAACAAGGAAAUUUGUUCCUUUCUUUUGUUGUUGCACACUUGUAGCUAAAGAUUGACUAGGACAUUGCUAUUUUUUAUUGCCGCUUGAUCUGAACCCUUCAGUCUUGUUGAUAGCUAGCGUGUCCUGCGACUAACGAUUAUGCAAAGAACUCUUAUCUACUCUUGGUAAUUUACCAAGAAAACUCUGCAGUUUGAACGGACCGAGUUGAUUGUGACUAUCACGAUCCUUUUGAUGGGUUUUGUUGUUCAAACAACGCAAACUAGGUGUAGCGACCAGACCUCAAACAGUCUGAUCUACCGUGCACCAGUGUCAUCCCUGGAUCAGUAAUGCUGACACGCACAGUACUUGGAGGAUUUAUAACAGAGUAGCAAUCACACACUUAUUACAUCGAGUAUCUCAAGAGAGAAAUAAGUAUGACAAAUAUGGCUUAAGGCCAUCUAAAAUAAUAACAGCGGAAGACUUGGAAGAUAAGUGAGUCCAUCAACUCCAACGGCAUCACUGAGUAUAAGACCACGACCUAAGGCACCUUACUCGUCGUCUGAAAAGUCUGCAACAUGAAACGUUGCAGCCUGAAAACGGGUCAGCACAUGGAAUAUGCUGGCAAUGUAACACAUAGAGAGUAAUGAACAGAAUAAUGCUAUACUACAUGCAUAUAUGGCUGGUAGAAGGCUCUAUGGUUACAGUUUUGCGAAAAGCCAAUUUUUCCCUACUGCAAAGGAAUAAAUUUUAUUUAACUAUCAUGGUGGUUGUUAAACAUUGAGAAUGGUUGACAGCAUUCUCAAUCCCAAUUAAGUAUCAUCAUUAAAACCCAACAAAAUUAAUUAAAGUAACAUGAUGAGAUUCACAUGAUAAUCCAGAUACUAAAUACUCAAGGUGUCCAUAACCGGG